rnacentral:lncRNA from 1 species
CUCGGGAAGGGGAAGAGACCCUCGAAGGUCCAGCCUAGGCAGGCGCCAGAGAAAGACUGGAGCCCCCGAAAAGGCGCAGGGUGCUUACCAUCGUCUGUGAUCGGGGCAUCCCUGGGGUCCGUAGGCGAAGGCCAUCUCUGGGGGGCCGCCGGCGCCGACAGGACCCGAGGCGCUCUCCAAGGCGCGCGCACAAGGCCGCGGGGCGCGGGGUCGCCGUCCCUGGCGGGCGCGGGGGCCUUUCGGGCCGCGUAGGCGCCCAGCGCAGCCACCAGACGCUGCCUGUCCACCCCGCCGGCCACUUUGGGGCUGAGCUCGUCCGGCUGGAGCCGGCGGAGCGUGCGCAGGGGGCGGCCCCCUGCGAGGUCCGCGCGCGCCGCGGGAGCGUAGGUCAGAGCGGACGUCUGAGCCACGAAGGUCAGCACGCUGUCGGCCAGGGGGUGGCCUGUCCAGCUCCGGCCCUGGGAGGGCAUCGGCGGCGGCGGCUGCCUGGGACAGGGCCUCCAGGUAGGGCAGGUAGCGCUGCAGGGCCUCGGCCAGCACGCCACCCUCCAGGCUGAGGCUCCGCUCGUCUGGGACGCUCUGCUUCGAGCUCCUGGGAAGGAGAGGGAGGCGUCAGGCGGUCCUCAGGCACAGUGCUGGCUCUGCCCUCAGGGCCCACAGCGGGCAGGGGGGCAGCAGGGCUGUGCAGGCACUCAGGCACCAGGCCAGGCGGCGAGGGCUGGCAGCGAGGGCCCGACCCGCCGCUCACACCGCCCACGGUGGUGCCCUGUCUGCACCCAAGCCUGGUGCUGGGACACAGGUGAACCUGGUGAGCGAACCCUGACUUACUUUCUCAACAGCCGCCCCACCACUGGGGGCAGAGACAAGCCGGAAUGGGGAGUCGGCCAGGACUUACUAAGUGCAGGGAGAACCUCAGCGGCAGAGAGGCUUCCCGGGCAGGGAGGGGAGACUGGCGAGCGCUGGGCCCGCCACCCCCUGCUCUGGGCCUGUCUCCGUCAGCGGCCUCCCCUCCACUCCCCGCCGGGUGCCAAGGAGCAGGCACAGAGGGUGAGAAGGUCGUGCUCACCCACCUCCCGGAAGAGGGGAACACAGGGGUCCGCAGGGCAUUGGCUUGCUAGUCAGCUGACGGGGAGAUGACCCCGGGCCCUCCUGGCGCCCCAGUGUGACCACAAAAGGCAGGCAGCAAUCCUGGGAAGCUGCCUGGAGGAAGGGACCUUGUUCUCGUGGGUUUUCUUGCUCUUUGCUCUCCUGAGAAUCUGCAUGGGGCCUCGGCCACAGUCAGCACUGGCAACGGUGUCCGCUGAACAAAUGAGCUUGGAAACAGGUGGUAGGCUCAGGUGACGCCGAGUUAGCGCAGAACCUGUGUCCCCACCGCUGACCUCGCAGAGGGCGCCUCUCCAGCACCAGGAAGGGCAGCCCUGUGACCAGACUCUGCUGUCACUGGGGGUGAGUUCAGGACAACCAGUGGUUGCCUGCGGUGAAUGGCAGUGAUGCAGGUCAUGAACUUGGG